rnacentral:rRNA from 1 species
GAUGAACGCUAGCGGCAGGCUUAACACAUGCAAGUCGAGGGGUAUAGUUCUUCGGAACUAGAGACCGGCGCACGGGUGCGUAACGCGUAUGCAAUCUACCUUUUACAGAGGGAUAGCCCAGAGAAAUUUGGAUUAAUACCUCAUAGUGUUAUCGAAUCGCAUGGUUUGAUAACUAAAGUUCCAACGGUAUAAGAUGAGCGUGCGUCCCAUUAGUUAGUUGGUAAGGUAACGGCUUACCAAGACAAUGAUGGGUAGGGGUCCUGAGAGGGAGAUCCCCCACACUGGUACUGAGACACGGACCAGACUCGUGAUGCU